CCCAAAGAGGAUAAUAUCCGCUAGCGGUGGAUCUGAUCGUUACAAAUGGUAUCAGAGCUAGACACCGGACGAUGUGCCAGUCUUCUCGCUGUUCUCCGAAGGAGGGUAGACAUGAGGCGGUGUGCCAGUAAGGACGCUGGGC